AAUGCGUUGAUGUGCAAUAGUUGACUGGACAUCUAGGGGUAAAGCACUGUUUCGGUGUGGGCUGCGCGAGCGGUACCACAUCAAGGCAAACUAUGAAUACUAGAUAUGACCCAAAAAUAACAGGGGUCAAGGUCGGCCAGUGAGAUGAUGGGGGAUAAGCUUCAUCGUCGAGAGGGAAACAACCCGGAUCACCAGCUAAGGCCCCUAAGUGAUCGCUCGGUGAUAAAGGAGGUUGGGGGUGCGAAGACAGCCAGGAGGUUUGCCUAGAAGCAGCCACCCUUUAAAGAGUGUGUAAUAGCUCACUGAUCGAGCGCCGACACAAUCUGUCGGGCAGGUAGAUUCACAUCUCUUACAACCCACACAAUCUUCGAUUCUUGGCACAGAAGCAAUUUGCUUGGUUA
rnacentral:ncRNA from 1 species